rnacentral:lncRNA from 1 species
GUUGGUCGGCUCAGUCUGAAACUGGAUCGACUCAGUCUGAAACUGGAUCGACUCAGUUGAACUGUGUCGGCUCACUUUGAACUGGGUCGACUAACUAAACUAUUCCAUGAAACUUCAGUCUUUUUGUCUUUUGAUUGUUCUCUCCCACUGGGUUGGCUCUGUUAAAACUCGAUUGGCUCAAUUUGCAUGCCAAACAUGCCAUUGAUCUUUUGACAGCUUUUCUUCUUUAAUUUUUUUUCUAGGCUAGACUUGUUUUGUUUACUUAAUUUUAUUCCUUAUUAAAAUUCUUCUAAGAUGUGUCU